UUGGGGCCUGCCCCCACGAGAUGAAGAUGAGGACCAACUUUAUCUUCUAUUAGACGCAGAGUCUCUGGUCUGAUUCCUCAGUCUGCCGUCUUGAAAGCCUGACCGUGCAGAACCCCUGAAGCUCUCCUGGGAGGAGGAACCAUCACCACCCUCGGAAAGGCCACCUUGACUUUGGUCACUUUACAGGGGACAAAAACCAACUCUGUUCUUGGAGCCACGAGGGCCACUCCUUUAAGUGCCAAAAGGCGCCCCCUUACAGGAACCCUGAAUUCCACCUCGGAGCAUCAAUACCUCCAUGAACCAGGCUGCAUAUAUUUACAGAGGGAAUCAUAUCACCCAUUUCCCUGGUGGUAAAGGUG